rnacentral:rRNA from 1 species
AUGAACGCUAGCGACAGGCCUAACACAUGCAAGUCGAGGGGCAGCACAAGGAGCAAUCUGAGGUGGCGACCGGCGCACGGGUGAGUAACACGUAUGCAACCUGCCUGUAAGCGGGGAAUAACCCGUUGAAAGACGGACUAAUACCGCAUAAUACUAAAUUACUGCAUGGUAAUUUAUUUAAACAUUUAUGGCUUACAGAUGGGCAUGCGCAUGAUUAGCUAGUUGGAGAGGUAACGGCUCCCCAAGGCAACGAUCAUUAGGGGUUCUGAGAGGAAGGUCCCCCACACUGGUACUGAGACACGGACCAGACUCCUACGGGAGGCAGCAGUGAGGAAUAUUGGUCAAUGGACGAGAGUCUGAACCAGCCAAGUCGCGUGCAGGAAGAAUGUCCUAAUGGAUUGUAAACUGCUUUUGCAGGGGAAUAAAGUGCAUCACGUGUGAUGUUUUGUAUGUACUCUGCGAAUAAGGAUCGGUUAACUCCGUGCCAGCAGCAGC